GCACCGACGUGAACGUUAACCGGGCCGCAGCUAACUGAGAUUAGCAACCUACAGCUACCCCUGGAGGGAACUGGCGCCUCUUCGAGGCGGUCUUCCGAGAGCCACAACAGCAAACAUCGAACUAGCGGGUUUAACGAAAAAUGGUUAACAGAGCCGAAGUUCUGGGUGGCUUUAUAAAACCGAAUAUGGGGGAAUGCUCUGCUGCUCCAACGCUGUGACUUUCUGCACCGACAUCUUCACAAGGCACGCCAAACAAAAAAAAAAAACCUUCCACAGCCGCUGCUGCCGGUCUCGUCGUCUGCUUUUGAUGCAGCAAAGCUGGGUGCGAGAGUUGUGCCGAGCGAACAGGAGGUGAUCAGCGUUGACGGCGACGUGCGCAGAAGAGUGUCUGCUUUGAGUCGAGCAGAACUGAUCUAUCAUUUCCACAGCAACGAUCAGAAGCAAGACCUUGCCCACAGAGAGCUCCAAACAGUUUGUUUAAUCUCAACGUUGCAUCACGCAAGUAUUUUUAGUGUUGUUAAGAUUAACAUCUAGUCACCAUGUCUCUUUUUAACAGUUUUGGUCUUGGAUUUUCAGUCACUACAGGAAUGAGAAAACUCUUUGACAGGUUCCUUUCUGAAAAGGAUUUCUGGAAGCUAGCUCUCAGGAUCAGAGCAGAGUCUGUUGGGACGAUUCUUCCAAUGUGCCUGAAGAAAACACUAACCCAGACCGGGAAGUUUGGCGUGAGGAAAAGAAAACCGCUUUCACAAAGAAAACAUCGCAAGACGGUACUCGAGCUGAAAAGAAAGUAGACGGUGAAAUCACAGCUAUCAAUUGGAUAAGGAACACAGCACAAGCUGCACGUACAAUCUUCCCAAAGAAAAACCUAACCUGGAUGGGGAAGUUUUCUUUGAGGGACAAAAAGCUGAAUUUGAAACCAACGAUGUUGAUUUGACAAAAGAAGACGUUACAAUGCGGUGCGUUGUUUGAAGAAUUGAAAAUGACCCCUGAUGGGGAAGCCUCCGAUAGAACAGAUUCCCCACUGUUCCAAGAAAAAAAGCUGCCCAGGACCAGGAAGUUAUUAUUUCUGAGGAGAUUGACAUCACAGCCUUUGCUGUAAUUUCAACGAUUACAUAAUAUCGCUUUGGCAGAGAAAACUUUGCUAGAUGGUACGUUCUCCAGCCUCUUUGAAUUGAAAUACCACUGAUAGCAUUUGUGCUAAGAUUAGCAUUUUGGCUAAUCUUAACAUACUGAAUAGAGAAGUCCAUGUUAGUCAACAUGCUUGUGAUUAUCCACAUGCUGUUUAGUAAAUGUUAGCUUAGCGUUGAUGUUCCGCUGGGUUCCAACCAGCUUUUUCAGGCCCCGUUUAAAUUUCUUCAGAAAUGUAAUAGUCUGCACAUACAGUCCUCACUCAAAGACAUGGACUGUCACUUGGGCGGGUUUUAGGCUAAACCAUCAUGAAGCAGCACUGGGCCACUGAAUGAACUGUAAGGUAGGAGACUUUUAGACUCCAGUACUAAAAGGUGGUGAUGCAACAUAAGAGCCGCUGCUGCAAUCAUCCUCAUCAUUAUCAUCAUCGUUAUCAUCAUCAUCAUCUGUGUUUCUCUCUGCAGUGGCCUAAACCGUUGAAAUAGAUUUUGAAAUCAACUUUAUUCCAUCCACACAACGGCAGACAACCAGAGGCAUAAAAAUGGGGGAUUAUAUGUAAUUCCCUUUGUCUUCAGCACUUUAUCCUCGACUCCACAUGGAUAUUCUGCUCCAGUUUUAAAGUCGAUAAGUAAAGGAAAACUGACUCUUCAUAAGAUCUGCUGUGUGAUUCCUGCUCGUCUUGUGACAGGCAGUGCUGUGUGACAUCUGGUCAGUAAACAUAAACAAGGCGUUACGUAACCAGCGGCGCCCCUCGUGGUCUUGACUCAUGAAGAAUGAGCAGAAAUCUGGGAAAAUGUCACAGUGCAAAUACUUUUUUUUUUUUUUUAAACUAGGAUUGUGUGUGUAACGCAGUGAUGUAAUACUAUGUUAAAAGCAAUAUAUCUUUUUAAUAAAAGUCCUUACCAAAAAAAAAAAGUAUUUAGAAGUGAAACAUUAAAUUGAAUUUAUGACAUUUGAAAAUGUUAAUGAGAAUGUGUUCAUACCAGGCUGAGAUUACAGUUGACCAAGUAUGUUUCAUUAAAAAAAAAAAAAAUCUAACAUUUUAAAUGAAUCCAUGUGUAACUUAAAUUAAUAUUAAAGCUAAAUGACAGUUUAUCUAAAAUAAGAUUGCUGUAUGUGUUCAGAUGCAGAUACA